CCCUACAGCCAUACCAGCCUGAGAACACCCAAUCUCAUCUCAUGUCGGAAGCUAAGCAGGGUCUGGCCCGGUUAGUACUUGGAAUGGAGACCUCCUAGGAAUACCGGGUGCUGUAGGCU
rnacentral:rRNA from 1 species